AGGCUGAGUUCAUGACAGAAACUAAAGUGGCUAAAAAAGCUAUAUGCUUACAAGAGCUAUUGAGUGAAGGCACCGAACUACCGUGUGAGAGAGUGGUCAUCAAGAUCAAACCCGGUCUUCCAUGGUAGAAACAAACACAUUCAUUCAAAGUAUCAUUUUAUAAGAGAGUCUGUGGAGAAUGGUCAAGUGAGGGUGGAGCACGUCUCAAGUGAUAAAUAAAAGGCAGACAUAUUGACCAAAGUGUUAUGAAAGAUCAAGUUCUCUGAGAUGAGAAACCUCAUCGGUAUUCAAGAUUUGUCAAGAAAGGAUUUCAAACUUUAGGAGGAGAAUGUUGGAUUAAGCUUGAAUGAAAAGAAAACUUGAGAUACAAGUUAAUGACCUAAUCCUACCGGGUUAGGAGUUAUCUAGAUAUAUUACCUAAUAGGAUUAUGAACUAUUAAUCUCUGUAUAAGGAGAUGUCAAGUUGUGCAAUAACUUAUGAGUUUAGAGAUUAAAUGUUUGAGAGCUUAAGUGCUGAGUUAUUUUCUUAAGCAAUAAAAAGAGUUAUUCUUUAUACAAUCUUUGAAUUCUAUAGUUUGGAAGAUCGCUAAUGUUCUUCAAUUCUUCACAGCCCUAGAAGGAAGACGACCUGGUUUGUGCCUUGCCUUUCUGAAGCUAUCGUCUCCGGAAUCCUUUGAGUUGUCUGCUUGUGUGAAGGGACCGGAAUCUAGAGCCAUGAACGUCGGCUUCCUUCAGUCAGUGACGCUCCAGUGCUCUACUUACUGGCUUCGUAUCUCUUCAGUUUGGUUCCAUAGGGCUUGUCUUGUCUUCUAGAGUUAUUGGCGUCUAGAUUGGGCUUCUCCGGUCUAGUUUUGGGGCAGGGACUUACCUAACCUUCUCCAAAGUCCUUUGGAGUCGCCUUCAGGGCAACCUCUCUGUUAUUCUCCGGCUAAAUCUUUAAUGGUCUCUGUUCCUUUUACAGUGUUCCAGCGUUUCUCCUGGUGCUUCGAUCAACUAGGAUGAAAUUAUUUUUUCAUUUUAUCAGUUUGUCACAGCUCUAAUCAUAGUUCUUGCGGCUUGAUUAAACCUGAAGUGUGGUCUAUGUGUCUUUUUAUCUUUUUUUUGGGGACAUUUAGCCACCCAAAUGGCUUUAACAAGCAGAAUGGGUUUCAGUUGCAUAUAACAAGCAGAAUGGGUAUCAGUUGCAAAUAACAAGCAGAAUGGGUAUCAGUUGCAUACUGAUUAUGAAUGAAAUUCACAUUUAUCAAAAAAAAGAAAGAAAAGAAAUAGUGAUUAUAUAUGAGAUGCUAAUUAAGUAAAACAAAGUAGAAUGAACACGUAACUAGAACUUAUAGUUCAAGCAUGAAACCCAGCUAAAAGAUCCAUCAUUGCUCAUCGGCUUUUGUCUUGACGGUUGAUUCCAAAGGCUUGGAGCGUAAAAUAACACAAAUCUUGAAAAGCACCACAUAAGAGAAGAUGCCCCACAAACUUUUGGUCAGAAAUCUUAACAGAACAUCGACAGGUUCGGUUUCAUGGUGAGCGCAACUGUCGUUAUGUGUUAUUGCGCCACAGAGGAAUAAGAACACACAUAGGAGAGUUUUGUGACCUGACACAGCGACUCGGAAUUCAUUAAGUUGCCAAUCGUGGAUACGUUUCUUGUAAGGGAAGGAAGAAAUUAUGAAUACAAAGAAAGUCACCAAGUAUGCGGAGACGAUCACAACAUCAACAGCUUCCUCCUGCUUCUUUAAGGUUUCAACGAAAGACACCAUCAUCGCUCGAAAGAACCUGUAUUUUUCAGACAAGGAAGAUUUUUAUGUUAAUUAGGAAGAAAAAGGAAGAAGAAUAGAUAGGCUUCACAAUUAGUUUACCUUUGCAACAAAACAGCUUCUGUCUUUUAUUCCCUUAUAUAUAUAUGCUUUCAAAACCCUUUAUGAUACAGUUACUUUCUUUUUUUUGCUAAGUAUGAUACAGUUACUUAAAAAUACGUCUGCUCAGCUCACCUAUACGAUUUUCCAUAUGUCAACUAAAAUGUCUCUCUCACAGAAGGAAUAUUACCAAAUCUAGUAUGUUAAGUAUGUUAAUAACGCUUGGAAAAAGGUAAUUAGUUACACCCAAAACGAAAAAGGAUAAAUCAGUUUGCGGAAUGGUAUAUUAAUGUCUCGUUGAAAAAGGUAUAUCCAUAUGAUAUACUAAUAUAUAUUUAAGAUUUAAAUUGAAGGGUGUGGUUUAAGAUUUAAAUUAAUAAUUUUAAAAUAUUUUCAAAAAAGAAUUUUUUUUUUGAUUUCAAAAUAAAAUUUCAAAAGACAAAUUUGAAAAAAUCAAAAAAAGUUUGAAUAUUGAACAAAGUUUUUUGUCGAAAAUACGAUUUUAACUUUUUAUUAUGAGCAAUUCUCGUAAAUAGACUUUUUAAAGUUUCCAUCUCCAAAAUAGCACCUUAAACUAAAAGUCACAAAUAUAACAUUCAUCAAUAGGCUACCCCUACAUACAAUAUCAAGUAUAAUUAAAUAAAAAAAAACUUUUGCUUCUCUCGACAUUUCCGUCGCCGGUUUCGGCGACAAACACAUGGGACGAACACAUGCGACGACACCGACGACGACACCAGCGACGACACCGACGACGACGACAUCGGUGUUAAAAUCACGACGAAUCUAUAUUGACAACACUCUUAACAGUGAAAUUGAAACUUACACAUGUAAGUUUGAGGUUUUCAAUUGUUAUUUGUAAUUAGGGAUUUUGAUUCAAAAUUUGUGGGUUUCACUUCAGUGAUGUUGCAUGAGCAUUUCAGCUUAAACAAAUGGAACCUUCUUCAUAUUCUCAGUGAAGCUUACCAUGGCUAUGGAGAUGAUUGUUUUUUUGUCAAGCUCUCUUCUUCACUAUUGUGGUUUCAGAUUUAUGGGCUUGGAGCUUCUAUUGUCAACACUUCACUUUCCCACACGGAUUUUGAUUUACGGAACAAGUUCUUGAAUCCAAAAACUCCUGCUAUAGGCACACACCAUCAAGAACGCAAAUGCUCAUCAGAGCAGGGCGGUUUGUAAUCUGAAGGCUUUUAGGGGACCGGCUGUAACAGGAACUCCUAUUCAGAGUGGUUCGUUUGAUUUGUACUCCCUGAUGGCGUUUCUCAGGUUCGAGCCAUUUUCCAUAAAGAGUUAUUGGCAAAGCUUGAUACAACACCCGCUUGGUCAAGGGAACAAGAACAGGCUCUCACGUUUACAGGUUUUGAUGGCGACAACCUCGUUGCGGAGAACAAAGGAAAAGAGUUUGAUUGGGUUGCCACCUAAGAACGUCAGAUAUAUGAUCACAUGGAAGGAGAAGCCAAAGGUCUUGUCCAGAAUCUUAUAAACAGUGGAAGCUUGAUGCGUAACUACUCAACAGUUUUGAGCAUAAUAUUACGGCUUACACAGCUUUAUGACGAUGUUUCUCUUUGCCCUCCAGAGUUAAGGUCUUUGAACACUUUAACAUCUAUCGAAGGUACAGAAACAAAACAGUUAUUUGUUAUUAUUUUUGGUUGCAAAGCUUUACUCCUGUGUGUGUUUGUGUACAGAUGUAACUGAUAAGUCAGAGCUGCUGUAGAAGCUGGUUGCCAUAUUGCAAGACGGCGAAGAUUUAAGAUUUUGACUGUCCAAUUUUCAUAUCUCCGCCAAGAGACAUCAUCAUCACUCAAUCUGCUGAUUUUUAAUAUAUAUACUUCUAAACUUUUCAUAGUAACUGCCUAGUAUUAUUAGAAAUCCUCGUUUUUAACUAGUUUAAUUGUUUAAUUUACAUUGAGCUUGUUUUGUUAGAGUCCUUGGCUUAUUAAGAAUAUUAAAUCUCUUUGCCUUCUCACUACU